CGGGGGAGGCCAGAUCCUGGGCUGUGUCCCGGCGCCCUGUGCUCCCGGUCUCCGCUGUUGGAUUCGUGCUCCCGGCCGCGCAGCCCCCU
rnacentral:pre_miRNA from 1 species